rnacentral:rRNA from 1 species
UACGUAGGUGGCAAGCAUUGUUCGGAUUUACUAGGCGUAAAGGGAGCGUAGGUGGCUUUGUAAGUUGGAAGUGAAAUUCCACAGCUUAACUGUGGAACUGCUUCCAAGACUGCUUAGCUUGAGUAUAGGAGAGGGAAAUGGAAUUCCUGGUGUAGCGGUGAAAUGCGUAGAUAUCAGGAAGAACACCGGUGGCGAAGGCGAUUUCCUGGCCUAACACUGACACUGAGGCUCGAAAGCUAGGGGAGCAAACAGG